rnacentral:rRNA from 1 species
AUGCUGGAAGAGAAUGUGCCCGCCAAGACAACUACUGUUCAAGUGAAAUGGUGUGGCAAUGAUUAUGAUGUGGUGGUACAAUCUGAUGCCGAUGUUGGAGAGCUAAAGCGACGUGUCGAACACGAUACGGAACUUCCUUUCAAGAGGCAAAGACAUAUAAACACUCAGACAAAUGAUGAAUUGGCUGAUAAUUAUCGUGUUUCUCUGUUGGACAGUCCACCCACGACGUUUCUCAUUGGGUUGAACAAACUGGACCUUCCACUCUACUUGCGGUAUUUUUCUUACGGAUUUGCUAUUUUACAGCUGAGUGUUUUGCAAUUCGUUGUCAUUCAAAUCCUUAUCCGUCCGUUCUUGCGCGGAGAUUCGUGCUGGUUUUUGUUUUUGUUCGGUCUCGUUUCUUGGUCCGGUUUUGUUGCCGGGCGCGGUUUUCUUUCUGCCCGUUACCGCCGCCCCACGGCCCGGCUCCCAUUCUGGUUGCUCUGUUUCGAUAAGGCCGAGGGUGAGCUCGAGCGGCGCAACAGAGGAGGCGCUUCGUCCCCGGCCAUGGCGUUUUUGAGAUCUUCCACCGCUCGAUCUUGUUUUCGGUUCCCUUACUCUUCAAUCCCCGGUGUCGCGUGGGAUUGUACACUAGAAUUUCAUAGGUGCUUACACUGUAAUAAAACUUGUAAGUACAUGCAUUUAAAAAACUUGAGUACACUGAAAUUUUCAAGUUACCAAUAG